CAAUGCCAUCAUUAAACCAGAGAAAAAGAAGAAGAGGUUGAGAAUAAACCCACUCAUUUACAAGAAAAAAUUUCCGGGACAAUUUUCUGACUUGGGCCCUCACAUAAACAUAGCUGCGCUCGCACCUACACUCACAUACGGCCGACAGUUACAGUGAUAGAAUAUAUCGCCUCUGCUUCUUUCUACCCCAUCACUCACUGAACUCUCUUUCUCUCUCUGUUUUCGCGAUCGAAGUGAGCUGCAGUUGUAUCGUUUCAGCUAAGUGGGAAGAUAUGGAUUCGUCAGUGGUGCUAUAUAACCAGCUCAAGCAGGCAGCAGAACCAUUUUUCUUGCUAGCCGGUCCCAAUGUGAUCGAAUCUGAGGAGCACAUUUUCCGAAUGGCCAAGCACAUCAAGAGUGUUGCAACGAAAGUUGGAUUGUCGCUGGUUUUCAAGUCAAGCUUUGACAAGGCCAACCGUACGUCCUCAAAAUCAUUCCGGGGUCCUGGCUUGGAGGAAGGCUUAAAGAUCCUUGAGAAGGUCAAAACAGCAUUUGAUCUCCCUAUCAUUACAGAUGUACAUGAAGCUAGCCAGUGUGAAGCAGUUGGUAGAGUUGCAGAUAUUAUACAGAUUCCUGCAUUUUUAUGCCGCCAGACAGAUCUUCUAGUUGCAGCAGCCAAGACUGGAAAAAUUAUCAAUAUUAAGAAGGGCCAGUUCUGUGCUCCUUCUGUCAUGGUAAAUUCAGCUGAGAAGGUUAGACUGGCUGGAAACCCAAAUGUGAUGGUUUGUGAGAGGGGAACUAUGUUUGGCUAUAAUGAUUUAAUUGUUGAUCCCCGCAAUUUGGAGUGGAUCAGAGAAGCUAAUUGUCCUGUCUUGGAGGAUGGAGGUGUUGCCAGUGGUGGUCUUCGUGAAUUAAUACCAUGCAUUGCAAGAACAGCAGUUGCUGUUGGAGUGGAUGGAAUUUUCAUGGAGGUACAUGAUAAUCCUUCUAAUGCGCCAGUUGAUGGUCCAACUCAAUGGCCCUUGCGCCACUUGGAGGAACUGUUGGUAGAGCUCAUAGCAAUUGCUAGGGUAAGCAAGGGGAAGCAACGUUUCAACAUUGAUCUCACACCCUAUCGCGAUUAGAAGAGUUGAAGCUACUCUAUUGGUAUUUAUUUGCGUUCAAGUAUUAUAAUGUUAAAGAGAGAACUAGAUUUGUAGGGGAAGGGGAGUGACAUUCUACCACAGCCUCCUGCAUUCGAUGAGACGGUGAACAAACUUUCGACCGUCAAAUAACAGAUGUUGGUGGAGAUUUUUUGAGGAUGUGUUUGCACUAAGUGGUAAAUUUGGUUCUUAAAGUAGUAGUAUGCCACGACUGUUGGCGCUUAAAGUGGUAGUGUUGACGCAUGGAGAAGUAACAUUGUGCUGAAAUACAAUUUACCACCUGAGGAAGCACUGUAAUACUCAAAUGUGAAAAUGUUACUGAAGAGUGCUUGAAAACUCUCAACCGUCCCAAUUCUUCUCUUGCUCCUUUCACUCCAUCAAACAUAGGAGAAGUUUGGAACAUGACUAGUUGGACUAACAAUAUCCAAUCGUUACAAGGUCGAUUGAGGUUUCAUAUUCGACUAUGCAUAUAUAUAGCUAAUAAGAUUUCAAUUUAACUUACAUAAAUGACUCGUGAAAGUGUAAACGUUAAUUUCUGCAGAGAACAAAAAAAAAAAAAAAAAAAAAAAAAAAAAAAAAAAAAAAAAGUUAAAAAAAAGGGGCUUUGAGCCUUUGAGUUAAAUACCAAAUUUGCCCUUUAAAAAACCAUAAAACCUCAAUUUCAUAACACGUAUUUCGCAAAGCCCUAAUUCUUACAAAUCAGAAAACCUUCACCGCAGCGCGGCCAAGCCUCGUCGUCGUCUGCUCCAAAAAAAAAAAAAAACAAAAAUCCAAAACCUUUUACUCGGUCCAAAAACUUCGCCGGCACCGGUUAUGGCGUAGUCCACCCGAAACUCGCCGGCCGCCUCCGGUUCAUGGACUAUCUCGACGAGGAGCAGAGGCGCGCCAUCACCAUGAAAAGCUCCUCCAUUGCCCUCCACUACAAAGACCACUCCAUCAACCUCAUCGACUCCCCGGGCCACAUGGACUUCUGCAGCGAGGUCUCCACCGCUGCCCGAUUGAGCGACGGCGCUCUGUUUCUGGUCGAGGGCGUCCACAUCCAGACCCACGCCGCGUUGCGCCAGGCCUGGAUUGAGGAGCUGACGCCGUGCUUGGUGCUGAACAAGAUCGACCGGCUGAUCUCGGAGCUGAAAUUGAGCCCCAUGGAAGCUUACACGAGGUUAGUGCGUAUUGUUCAUGAGGUUAAUUGGAUUGUUAGUGCGUAUAAGAGCGAGAAAUAUUUGUCCGACGUGGAUGCUAUACUUUCCGGGCCGGCUGUUGAUGUGGGUGGUGAUCAAAAUCUGAGCCUUUUGGAUGUGGAGGACGAUGAGGAAGAUACGUUUUAACCCCAGAAGGAGAAUGUUGCGUUUGUGUGUGCUUUGGACGGUUGGGGUUUCUGCAUUAAUGAGUUUGCUGAGAUUUACUCUUCGAAAUUUGGGGUGAGUGCGGCUGCAUUGACAAAGGCUUUGUGGGGACCGAGGUACGUUAAUCCGAAAACCAAGAUGAUUGUGGGGAAGAAGGGUGUAGCUGGUGUGAAAAAUGCUAGGCCAAUGUUUGUUCAGUUUGUGCUUGAGCCGCUUUGGCAGGUAUAUCAGGCGGCUUUGGAUGAGGAUGGCGGUGGGAAAGUGAUGCUUGAGAAAGUUAUCGAGUCUUUUAAUUUGAAUGUGCCGCCCGUGAGCUUCAGAACAAGGAUCAGAAGGUUGUGCUUCAAGAUGUGAUGAGUCGUUGGCUUCAGCUUUCUGAUGCUGUGUUGUCAAUGGUGGUUAGGUGUAUGCCUGACCCGGUUGCGGCACAGGCGUUUAGGAUAGGGCGGUUGCUUCCAAAGAGGCAGGUUAUGAGUUAUGGGGUUGAUUCCGAUGCACUUGCAGAGGCGGAGCUUGUGAGGAAAUCGGUUGAAGCUUGCAAUUCAAGCCCUCAAGCUCCCUGUGUUGCUUUUGUAUCCAAAAUGUUUGCUGUCCCAAUGAAAGUACUUCCACAGAGGGGAUUAGAUGGGGAAAUUGAAAACAACGUAAGUGAUGAGGGUGAAUUGAAUGAGGGCUUUCUUGCAUUUGCAAGGAUAUUUAGUGGGGUUCUUUAUUCAGGACAGAAAAUUUAUGUGCUUUCAGCUUUGUAUGAUCCAUUAAAAGGGGAGUCGGUGAAGAAGCAUAUGCAGGUGGCUGAGUUGAAAUCUCUAUAUCUCAUGAUGGGCCAAGGAUUAACACAUGUGGCCUCUGCCCAUGCCAGGAAUCUUGUAGCAAUUUGAGGCCUUGGCCAACAUAUACUGAAAAGUUUAACACCUUCAUCGACGAAAAACUGUUGGCCUUUCUCCAGUAUGGCAUUUCAGAUUGCUUCUACUCUAAGAGUCGCAAAUGAGCCAACUCAUCCUGCAGAUAUGGAUGCACUGACUAAGGGUUUGCGGCUGUUGAACCGGGCUGACCCGUUUGUUGGGGUAACAGUUUCUGAUGGGGGAGAAAAUGUUGUGUCUGCUGCAGGAGAGGUACAUCUUGAAAGAUGCGUAAAAGAUUUGAAGGAGAGAUUUGCAAGGGUAAGCCUGGAAGUGUCUCCACCUCUUGUGUCUUAUAAAGAGACCUUUGAGGGUAAUGUAGGUGAUAAACUUGAGAAUUUGAAAUUCUUUCGUUCAACCUCAGAUUGUGUUGAGAAAAAGACAGCAAACGGUAGGUGUACGAUAAAGGUGCAUGUCAUAAAGCUCCCUCCUUUAACUAAAGUGCUUGAAGAUAGUUCUGAUUUACUUGGAGAUAUCCUUGGAGGUAGGGCUUCCCAGAUCAAUAAAAGUUUUGACACAGAGAUUUCAACGGUUGCAGAAGACGAGAACCCGAUUGAAGCACUGAAGAAACGUAUCACGGAUGCUGUGGAGAGUGAUAUUCUGUCUAGUGGGGAUGCCGACAAGGAUAGGGUUGAGAAAUGUAAACUAAAGUGGCAAAAACUACUUAAAGGGAUAUGGGCACUUGGCCCUUCGCAAGUAGGUCCUAAUAUCCUCCUUACUCAGUUACUCCAGACCUCAAAGGAAAGGGUUCGGACGGCUCUGUCCUCAUCUGUGGCUCCUCUCACGUAUCUCAAAAAUUAGGAUUCGUCGAUGCUUCUGGCAGUGGCAAUAUAGCUGCUGAUACAUCUUCAGAAGUAGCUCAGGCAUUGUCAGUUGAGGCAGAAAACCUUGAAAGCAGUGUUGUAUCUGGGUUUCAAGUGGCGACAGCAGCUGGACCUUUAUGUGAUGAACCUAUGCGGGGUUUAGCAUUUAUUAUUGAGGCUAAAACUGAACCGUUGACUGCUCAGUCUGAUGAAGGGGAAGCCUGCCACCACCAACGUGAGCAAUGUGGUAUCUUCAGAGGACAGGUAAUGAGUCUAAUGACAACCAUCAAAGAUGCUUGUAGAGAAGCCGUGCUUCAAAAGAAGCCUCGGCUUGUGGAAGCCAUGUACUUCUGUGAGUUGAACACGUCAACUGAGCAUUUGGGUUCUAUGUACGCUGUGCUUGGGCGAAGGCGGGCUAGAGUUUUAAAGGAGGAAAUGCAGGAAGGCUCCCCAUUGUUCACUGUGCAUGCAUAUGUGCCUGUUUCUGAAAGGUUUGGUUUUGCGGAUGAGCUUAGAAGAUGGACUGCUGGUGCUGCAAGUGCUCUUCUUGUGCUUAGUCACUGGGAAGCACUUCCAGAGGAUCCUUUCUUUGUACCAAAAACAGAAGAAGAACUAGAGGAGUUUGGUGACGGUUCUAGUGUGCUUCCCAAUAACGCGAGGAAACUAAUUAAUGCUGUAAGAUGGAAGAAGGGGCUUCCUGUAGAGGAAAAAGUAGUACAGCAUGCGACCAAGCAGAUGACCCUGGCUCGUAAAGUGUAGAGGAUGUUGAUAUACUUUAGCUUUAGAGUUAGGGCCAAUUGUGGUGAGUGAUUUACUUCCUUCUGUGGAAAUGUAGAGGCUGUUGAUAUAGUUGUAAUUAACUGGCUAUAGCUUAAUAUCUUCUGGCAAAGUGGCAAUGCUGCUAUAGGUUGAGACUAAGUUGGUUGCGAAAGUGGCUCGCAAUCGCAGUUUUCGUAUGUUGCUGUGGCUGGAUAACAAUUUUGAUGGCUCGACAGAAAUUGAAAUUUUGAAUGGAAAGAUUUAGGUUGCUGUAGGAGGAUGUUAAUUUGAAAGAAAGGAUUCGAUGUUUUCUUUUGA